UACCAGCUCUUCGAGUGGUGUGGAUGUUUAUUGGGCCUAGAGCAUCCGUAGCUGGCUGGGCAAGUCCCCUGUUAAAUCCACCGAUUUAAUCGUUGGAGUGCGGGGGAUAUUGUUCGGCUAGGGGACGGGAGAGGCAGACGGUAUUUUCGGGGUAGGGGUGAAAUCCUAUAAUCCCGGGAAGACCACCAGUGGCGAAGGCUGUCUGCUAGAACGCGCCCGACGGUGAGGGAUGAAAGCUGGGGGAGCGAACCGGAUUAGAUACCCGGGUAGUCCCAGCUGUAAACGAUGCAGGCUAGGUGUUUGGGCGGCCACGUGCCGCUCUAGUGCCGCAGGGAAGCCGUUAAGCCUGCCGCCUGGGGAGUACGGCCGCAAGGCUGAGACUUAAAGGAAUUGGCGGGGAGCACCACAAGGGGUGAAGCUUGCGGUUU
rnacentral:rRNA from 1 species